rnacentral:rRNA from 1 species
UACGUAGGGUGCAAGCGUUAAUCGGAAUUACUGGGCGUAAAGCGUGCGCAGGCGGUUUUGUAAGUCUGUCGUGAAAUCCCCGGGCUCAACCUGGGAAUUGCGAUGGAGACUGCAAGGCUAGAAUCUGGCAGAGGGGGGUAGAAUUCCACGUGUAGCAGUGAAAUGCGUAGAGAUGUGGAGGAAUACCGAUGGCGAAGGCAGCCCCCUGGGCCAAUACUGACGCUCAUGCACGAAAGCGUGGGGAGCAAACAGGAU